rnacentral:rRNA from 1 species
AGAACGAACGCUGGCGGCAUGCCUAACACAUGCAAGUCGAACGAGACCUUCGGGUCUAGUGGCGCACGGGUGCGUAACGCGUGGGAAUCUGCCCUUGGGUUCGGGAUAACAGUUGGAAACGACUGCUAAUACCGGAUGAUGACUUCGGUCCAAAGAUUUAUCGCCCAGGGAUGAGCCCGCGUAAGAUUAGCUAGUUGGUGGGUAAAGGCCUACCAAGGCAACGAUCUUUAGCUGGUCUGAGAGGAUGAUCAGCCACACUGGGACUGAGACACGGCCCAGACUCCUACGGGAGGCAGCGACGUGGGGAAUAUUGGGACAAGUAGGGCGAAAGCCUAGAUCCAGCAAUAGCCGCGUGAGGUGACUGGAAGGCCUUAAGGGUUGUAAAGUCGUUACCGUUUUUACCCGGGGAUUACGGA